AACCCAUGGUGAGGACACCUUCUCAAAAGAUCCUUAUACCUCUCCUAUGCAUCAUAUAAAGUUUCUAAAUCAAUUUGCAUGAAGGACGAGAUAUGUUCCUCAACAU
rfam:Gossypium arboreum cultivar AKA8401 contig_1372_15, whole genome shotgun sequence.